rnacentral:rRNA from 1 species
CCACUCAAGCCUAGCUUGGUAUUGGGCGUCGCGGUUCCGCGCGCCUUAAAGUCUCCGGCUGAGCAGUUCGUCUCUAAGCGUUGUGGCAUAUAUUUCGCUGAAAGAGUUCGGGACGGCUUUUGGCCGUUAAAUCUUUCUUAAAGGUUGACCUCGGAUCAGGUAGGG